rnacentral:lncRNA from 1 species
GGAUCCUGUAGGGCCCACACGAGAUAUUUCACCAGCUGUACUAUCUUUAAAUUCCAACAUACACGGGUGGUCCUGCCCUGGAUAAAACUCAGGAAGCAAAAACAACCUUCGGGAGAGGUGAGGUAGGAAGUCAUAGCAUUGCCGACGGUCCAGAGCAAAUCGCUCCCUGUCUAGACCCCGCCCGUACCACAGCCUGGACAGGCUGAGGUUUCAACCCCUCUCUGGCAAACUCGGGCGCAGCCAGGCCCCGCCCAGAGAUUUCCGGGGCACGCCCCGGAAGUGCUGAGAGGGACUUCCUCCCUGCGGCGAGGCCUCGGAGGUGGCUGCUGCGCACAGGCAGAGAAAGGCUGAAGUGUUCUUGAAGACUCUUCAAUUACAGGAAAAGACGCUUGACUGCAUCUUUAGAGGAGUUGGUUUCGCUGGUUCCAAGGAUUCUGUUAAUGAGAAAACUCCACAGGCCAGCAUUCUGUAAGCUGGCUCCAGCAGUCCAGUUGACAGUGGCUGAGGCCAGUUCCUGAUCAUCCUAUCUGAGGAACACCAGGUGCCUGACCUCGGAAAAUUUAUUUGCUUCUCAGUUUUUAUAUAUAUGCGAGAAGAACUUGAAUGUCUGCCCUGUAGGAUUAAAUGAGAUAAAAAGCAUAAAAUGCCUUCUUGGAGUAAGCGAUCCUUUCUUCACACGGUCCAUUCUGGCCAGCUCACAAACCACUGAGAGGGAAGCCUCCAGGAUCCUAGAGUAGAUGACCAGAUGCCCAGGCGCGCAAUCUGUGGAAGUGAAAGUCAAGCUUUCUAGGCCAACAGCUGUCCUCAGUCGCUUGGUCAGAUAGUCUAAUCGCAGUUUUUCAGGUGAGUUCC